rnacentral:rRNA from 1 species
UACGUAGGGUGCAAGCGUUGUCCGGAAUUAUUGGGCGUAAAGAGCUCGUAGGCGGUUUGUCGCGUCGGCUGUGAAAACCUGGGGCUCAACCCCGGGCCUGCAGCCGAUACGGGCAAACUAGAAUUCGGUAGGGGAGACUGGAAUUCCUGGUGUAGCGGUGGAAUGCGCAGAUAUCAGGAGGAACACCGAUGGCGAAGGCAGGUCUCUGGGCCAUUACUGACACUGAGAAGCGAAAGCAUGGGGAGCGAACAGG